rnacentral:rRNA from 1 species
GACGAACGCUGGCGGCGUGCCUAACACAUGCAAGUCGAACGGAAAGGCCCUGCUUUUGUGGGGUGCUCGAGUGGCGAACGGGUGAGUAACACGUGAGUAACCUGCCCUUGACUUUGGGAUAACUUCAGGAAACUGGGGCUAAUACCGGAUAGGAGCUCCUGCUGCAUGGUGGGGGUUGGAAAGUUUCGGCGGUUGGGGAUGGACUCGCGGCUUAUCAGCUUGUUGGUGGGGUAGUGGCUUACCAAGGCUUUGACGGGUAGCCGGCCUGAGAGGGUGACCGGCCACAUUGGGACUGAGAUACGGCGCAGACUCCUACGGGAGGCAGUAGUGGGGAAUAUUGCACAAUGGGCGGAAGCCUGAUGCAGCAACGCCGCGUGCGGGAUGACGGCCUUUGGGUUGUAAACCGCUUUCGCCGGUGACGAAGCGUGAGUGACGGUAAUGGGUAAAGAAGCACCGGCUAACUACGUG